UAUUAAUAAUACGCAAUGAAAGCACUUGUACUGAUUAUAGACACUUAAUAGCGCGUUUUUAAAUUUCACAAGAUUGCGACCCCCCCGCCCUUUGCCUCACAAUGGUUUGAUCCACUGCCAGUUCUUUAGCUGGCAAGGUAAUAGAGGGCUCGUAUCUACUGUCCGAAAGGCACUCAAUGUACGUAACUGACGUGAGGCAGAGCAGGCAACAGAUGGCACACAGACAGCAGAGCUGGGGACAGAUAUGCAGGGACAGACUGGCAGAGACAGGGAGUCUCAGGAGACAGACUGUGAGUCAGUGAGGGUGGUGAAAGGGAAAGAGCCAAGGAGAGAGACUUGAGGACAGUGUCACAGCCACGGCAGGACCAGGUGUCACCCUUGUUGCCAGCAGCACCAGUAUAGGGGACAGUGGCACAGCAUCGUCCAGUUACCUCAGU